rnacentral:rRNA from 1 species
AUUGAACGCUGGCGGCAGGCCUAACACAUGCAAGUCGAGCGGAUGAACGGAGCUUUCUCCUGGCUUCAGUGGCGGACGGGUGAGUUAUGCCUACGAAUCUGCCCUGCAGUGGGGGCUAACGUCCGUAAACGGGCGCUAAUACCGCAUACGCUCUUAGGUAGAACGUCGUGGAUCUUCGGACCUCACGCUAUCUGAUGUGCCUGGGUCGGAUUAGCUAGUUGGUGGGGUAAAGGCCUACCAAGGCGACGAUCCGUAACUGGUCUGAGAGGAUGAUCAGUCACACUGGAACUGAGACACGGUCCAGACUCCUACGGGAGGCAGCAGUGGGGAAUAUUGGGCAAUGGGCGAAAGCCUGACGCAGCCAUGCCGCGUGUGUGAAGAAGGUCUUCGGAUUGUAAAACUCUUUAAGUUGGGAAGAAGAGCAGUAUGAUAAUACGUUGCUGUUUUGACGGUACCAACAGAAAAAGCACCGGCUAACUUCGUG